CUCUGGACUGAUUGUCCAUGAUCCGUUAGCUUUUGCAGAAAUCGAAGAGUCGAUUUCGAUGCGUUUUUCGGCGAAAUUCGCCGAAAGAACGCGGUUUCGAUUCGAAUUUCUUCCGACGUCGUUUGGUUGCUCUGUGAGUGGUCGCUAAGCCUUGUUGGCUAGUCACCAUCAUCACUUUGUGGGUUCGGUGAUGACGGGUGAGCGACGGUGGGUUCCGGUGUCGAAUUUGACACUUCCGGGAACCCGUAUUCGUACAAUUAUCCGGCGAUAAUUGUGUCGCGGUGUUUAUCUUAUGUUUGCUGCCAAAACAUCCAAAUUGGAGUGUUUUAUGGCAGCAGGUGACUUGUAGCAUGGGUCGGUGCGUUUCGGGACAUUUCAGUGGUCCCGACGGAGUCCCGGUGCGAUUUUCGGGACUUCCGGCGAGUUACGGUAGUCAGUUUUGGGAAACUGAUCUUCGUGGGUUUGUUAGAGGGAUUAUGAUGUAGUGUUUCUUAGUUGUGGGUUAGACACUAACCCAGUGGAUCCUCCUUAGGUCCUGUUGACGUUCUUUUGCAGUCAGGUGACAGGCGCGACAGUUGUACAGGUGGGUACUUCGAUCCGACGUCGGUACAGUGGUGCACGUUCGGUGAU
rnacentral:lncRNA from 1 species